UCCAAUGAUCCUUAUUAAAGGAUAAGGCCCCCCUCCUGGCCUUUUUCAAUGUAUAUCAAUGACCU
rnacentral:rRNA from 1 species